GGAAGGGCAGUACCUCCAUGGUAGAGUAUCUGCUUUGCAUGCAGAAGAUCUGUGGUUUGAUUCCCAGCACUUCCA